rnacentral:ncRNA from 1 species
GCAGGGGAAGCUGAAAACCUGUAGAACCGAGUAGGCA